GGUAACUUUACACAAAGCUCGUUUUAUUAUGAAGGAUUGAAACAAAGAAAUUCAUCUGGAAAACAUUUACGUACUUAUGCACAAAAAGAGAAUGAACCUUUGGAGAUUGAGUGAAACUUUAUUAGAUUGAAGUUAUUUUAAAGUUAUUUCAUUUUAAUGUAAAUGAAAUUCUAAUAUACGUGAAUUCUAUGGAAAUGAUUUAAAUGCAAAAUAGCACGUAUAUUUUUCUCUAGUACCCAUUGAAAAUGAAAAUGAAAUGUUUUGAAAUCUUAUCUCGAAUAUAUGAUACAAAUUCAUUAUAAAAAUAUGUGAGAGAAUAUACAGGAAAUAUUCCUUGGAUUGGUGAUACAUUCUGUGGUUUGUAUAACCAAUUAUGCACUAAUCACCAUGUUCCUAUUUUAUAUCACAAAAGAUAUUUCAUUUACUUUUAACAGGAAUUAAUUCAACUGUAGCAACCCUCAAAGUGACUGCUUUAAAGAAAGAAAAUUUGAAAAUGAUGACUAAACGUGAUUCUUAAAGCAGAAAGUAAACAGCGGUAAUGAGAAAUGGACAUUUUACUGUAAGGACUGCGUUAGAAGUAGACUAUGAAAAUGAAUGAAGUCUGUCCAUUGUCCUGUGCAGAACAGGAACACUUCAUGACGAUAUUCUUGAUGUCAGCAAUUCAUCAUUAAAUACAUCCUUCCUAAGAUGCGAUGUUUCUUUUGGGCUGUAUCCCUACAACACAUUUGGUCGACUACCUGGAGUAACAGCUGUUGGAAGAUGAUUGCUCCUUUCGAUUUCAAUGUAAAACCCAUAAAACAACAGACGUAUGUUCAAGGCUAGACAAUCAAAUAAAAUUAAUCUUCAACAAGAGGACUUGAGGAAAGCCCUCGAUUACGUCAGAUGUCAUUCGAUCAGCUGUUGUUUAAAGACUGAAGACGGCAAAUUAUGUUCGCUGUUAAAUGCCAUCAGAUUCCUUAUUACCAUAUAUAUAUUUGUAAAUGCUCCUUUUAACAUGAUUAACUUUUUAAUUCAUACUAAUUAAUUUUUUAAAUAGAAUGGUUUCUUUUUUAUUCUCUCU